rnacentral:tRNA from 1 species
GGCUCAGUGGUAGAGUGCUUGCCUUGCAUGCAUGAGGCCCUGGGUUCAAUUCCCCAG